UUUUGGGGUGAAUUCACCCAAAUUUGGGAAAACUGACGUAAAAAAUAACAAAAAUUUGUGAGUUUUUGGGAAGAGGUGAAAAAUUGGGUGAGAAAAGGGCAAAAUAGGGAAAUUUUGGGUGGAAAAUGGGUGUUUUUGAGAUGAGGUGAAAUAUUGGGUGGAAAAGGGGCAAAAUAGGGAAAUUUUGGGUGGAAAAUUGAGUGUUUUUGAGAUGAGGUGAAAUAUUGGGUGGAAAAAGGGGCAAAAUUGGGAAAAUUUGGGUGGAAAAAUGGGUAUUUUUGAGAUGAGGUGAAAUAUUGGGUGGGAAAAGGGGGAAAUUGGGAAAGUUUGGGUAGAAAAAUGGGUGUUUUUGAGAUUAAGUGAAAUAUUGGGUGGAAAAAGAGCAAAAUUGGGAAAGUUUGGGUAGAAAAAUGGGUGUUUUUGAGAAGAGGUGAAAUAUUAGGUCGAAAAAAGGGCAAAAUAGGGAAAUUUUGGGUGGAAAAAUGGGUAUUUUUGAGAUGAGGUGAAAUAUUGGGUGGAAAAGGGGCAAAAUAGGGAAAAUUUGGGUAGAAAAAUGGGUAUUUUUGAGAUUAAGUGAAAUAUUGGGUGAGAAAAGGGCAAGAUAGGGAAAUUUUGGGUAGAAAAAUGGGUGUUUUUGAGAUGAGGUGAAAUAUUGGGUGGAAAAAGGUCGAAAUAGGGAAAAUUUGGGUGGAAAAAUGAGUGUUUUUGAGAUGAGGUGAAAUAUUGGGUGGAAAAAGGGCAAAAUUGGGAAAGUUUGGGUAGAAAAAUGAGUGUUUUUGAGAAGAAAUGAAAUAUUGGGUGGAAAAAGGGCAAAAUAGGGAAAUUUUGGGUGGAAAAAUGGGUGUUUUUGAGAUGAGGUGAAAUAUUGGGUGGAAAAAGGGCAAAAUUGGGAAAGUUUGGGUAGAAAAAUGGGUAUUUUGGAGUUAAGUUGAAAUAUUGGGUGGAAAAAGGGCAAAAUUGGGAAAGUUUGAGUGGAAAAAUGGGUAUUUUUGAGAAGAGGUGAAAUAUUGGGUGGAAAAAGGGAAAAAUUGGGAAAGUUUGGGUAGAAAAAUGGGUAUUUUUGAGAUGAGGGGAAAUAUUGGGUAGAAAAAGGGCAAAAUAGGGAAAUUUUGGGUGGAAAAAUGGGUAUUUUUGAGAUAAGGUGAAAUUUUGAGUGGGAAAAGG